UUUAUUUAGUUCCUUUACUUCCCGGAGACCGAAGAAAAAAACAAUUACGACGUCAUGUAAUACGAUGCUAGUUUUACCCACAAGUCAACGGGACGAUAGUAUAAAUUAAAACGUCACCCGCCUAAAAUUCUUUUCCGUUCAAAUCGCAAUGGGGAACGUCUGGCUAUCGUUAUGGCCUUUUGGAAAAAAGAUUCUAACAUCUAUUGCAUUUGAUCCUGGAUGACAUGAAUUGGCACUUGGGUGAUUCAGGUCUACCUAAUUUGGACUGCCUUGGUCUGAAUUUUAAUAAUGAUCAUGGAACCAUUAAUGGAAUAGCAGAUGUUUCUGAAGUUACAGAAAGGAAGAAUGGGUGUAAGCAUUUCAACCACAUCACCUUGAAUCUAAAAAGGGCCGGUGAAGAAAACCUUCUGCCAUAUGAGUACACUGAUUAUACAGCAACCGUUCCAUUUAUUUCUGAGGCUUCAAUAGUGAGAAGCUAUUGGCUGUUUUUGCAGUGUGUUUUUUCUGAACUCUUUCCAUUUCAGGUUUUCGGUGUCUGUUGAAGAUUUGUUGACAAUCCCCUCGACAAGUCAAAGUAAAUGUACCUAUAGGUUGGGUCACGAAAGCAAGCAAGGACCGUUGUGGACCAGCUGACUUGACUGUUAAAUAGAAAAAUGUGAAUCAGACUUGACUGUUAAAUACAUGUAUUGGAACAGACACUGACUACUCUGGUUAAUGCAGCUUUGUCCAGUUAUUUACUUUAACUGUGAUUUAUCACAUCAAAUGUGAGGUUGACAAUUGUAAUGCUGUUGAAGCAUUACUUGAACUGUGCAGUAGAAAGAUGCGUACAUGGGAACUCUCCCUAACUACUUACACAAAUGUUUUGGGCAUGUUUAAGUGUACUGUAAAUUAGGCAAUAAAAGUACUCAACUAUUU
ensembl:lncRNA